AGCGCACAAGCCCCGUGCGGCACAAAGGCAACAAACGUGCCCGAGAAGCCGACAAAAGCAGCGAUCGCAUCCGUCUCGACACUCACCAUGUCCCGCUAAAGAGCCGCCACAGCCUCGCAAACACAGCCACGGACAAGAAUGGGAUCGCCCGGCGCAUGCGCAGUCCGACCCGGGAUGAUGUUGGCACUUGGAAAA